rnacentral:lncRNA from 1 species
GAGGGAGAGAUAAUAUAUAUUUGAAAGUGAUACAUAUGUUUUGCGGUGAGAAUAAUUUUAUAAUAGGUUCGUAUACUUAAAAUUGUAAACAGUUUGUUUAAUACUUCAGUAAAAUGAAUUUGUUAACCGUUUUGUUUUUCAUACCAUGCGCGACAAGUUUAAAAUGUUGGAGUGGGGUGACAACAAAUAAUGUUAUUUCUCUAAAUACAUUCGUUACUAUGUCAAACUGCAAUCGAUGCAUGACUAAAAAUGAAACGAAUUCAGCUGGGUCCGUAAUUACUCAAAGUUGCUACAUGAAUUUAGAUUGCAACGGAGGAUGCGGAGUUAGCAUAGAAGGCUUUAAUUGUGUGGUUACAUGCUGCGAUACUGAUUUCUGCAACGGAUCAAAAUCUGGCAGUUGCUUUUCUUUGGAAUUUUGUUCAUGGAAAUUGCUUGCGGGAAUUUUAUUUGUAAUUUUUGUAACAAAUAACUAAAAUUACCGUCAAAAUGUUAAUUUUACGUUAAUUUACGUUGAAUUUUCGUCAGACUUUUUUUUAUUGGUUCCAAUAUAGUCGAACUUUUUUCCAUUGAACAAAGUAUAUGUAAAGCUAAAGGUUUUUUGUAACAUUGCAAAAUUUUAACUUCAUUUUCAAUACAAUUUAAAAUUAUAACAUAAAGUAU